UUUCUCAUACUCACCACUAGAGUAAAGGGCAGAUAAGAAGCGACAUAAAAGCUCAAAAGAAGAAGAUACCACAGGAGGGCAUUGUCUUCCCAAAAAACACACAGCGCAAUGUCAAUUUAGCACUUGUUAGACACGGACUGUUAUUAAAAAAUAAAAAUAAAAAAGGUGCUGCUGCUGCUGUAUUGCCACGCUGCUAUUUAUGACUUUUUAUUUAUUUAUGACGUGCGUUUAAAUGUCUGUUUUUAUCCAUAUGAAGCACCGCGCGGCAGCAUUUACACUGAUAUAUCUAUACAUUAAGGAUUAAAUAAUAAAUAGCUGCAUUUUAACAAUGGGAAUGACUGGCUCCCUGUUUCUAUUGGGCUUUACAGGAGAGGGGGUCUCACCGCUUUCAGACAACUGAGCCGAGUCCAGACUGCCUGGCUUUCAUGUCACUUUUUUUUUUUUUUUUUUUUUUUUGUUUGUUUUACAGGAAAUAAAUCUCCCACCACUACAGCAACCUUUGUGAAGGUACACCCAGCGGCCACUUGAAGGAGCUCUUCUCCACGUGAUUGUUAAAUGCAGCCAUAGCCCAAAUAUAUAGCUGUGUAAGAGCAGGAGGGGGGAGCACCAAAUAAGACCUAAUUUGUGCAAAACAAAACCUACAGCGAUUACAGGGGUGGACAUAAAAGCAAAGAUGCCAAUAUAAUGCAAUUUAAUACAUCGGCCUAUAAGAUUUUCCUUUUGUUUAGUCUGUGUCUGACGUUAGUAAUUGGUAAUUUCAGGCUGUAGCCAGUUGGUUGCGUUGUAGUGGAUUAAAUAUAACACAAUACACUAGUUUAUAAUGCAGUACAGCAACACCAGAAACUGCAGCCUCAGUUAUAUAAAAACAUUACACAACAAAACUGUACAUGCAAGAAUUAAAUAGGGCUGGGUUUUGUUUAAUAUUUUUGAUACUAGUGGGGUUCUACAAAAGGCCCUUUUAACAAAAGAAGCCACAGUUCAUGUUAAAUGCUGUCUAAACACAAGCAUCCGUACGAGAAUUUUGCAUUAAAAGAUCGGCGAAAAUUGGCAACAUUAUGAUUUAAAACUACCUGAUUAAAUAAGUUACCAGCCUUCAGUACUUACUACAGUUUUCGAUACAUCUGUCUAUUCAAUACCCAGCCCCGGCUUUAAAAAGAUAAUACUUGUUGCAGGCCUGUUGCAUUGGAUUGCAUUACACGGUACAGGUAUUGCUUUACGUGUCCAUCCUCUGUACGCUUCACUACAAGAAAUUAGACUUGGCAGCGUACUUGUGUAUGUAUGAGGCCUUGUAUAAGCUUUUAGCUAUUGCGGUUCUAUGCACUGGCUGAUAAGAAAAUGUUUCCGUUGCAAUUUAACAGCAUGUAGCUCAAAAUUAAGAUCAAGAAUUCAAUACAUUUAGUUAAAACUGUCCUUUUAGAUAAGUUAAUGUCUUCAUAAAGUUCACGUCACUGUGUACAGUACUGAUAUCUCUCAUCGUUACAUUUUUUUGUUGUUGAGGACGUUUAAAUCUCUGUAGUUAUUCGCCUAUUUGUACUUCUUCAUUUAGGGACUACUGUUGCUGGUGCUUAUCUUCUAUGGCUUUUAAAUAAACAACUGUUUAUGACAUCCUGUGCAGAUUUUCCCAGAAAAGACUUAUUGCACAUUAGAUGUUUACAUGUUGUGUUACAUCCUUUGAUGAGUAAUAACGCAUAAAUGUUUAUAAUGAUGUUAUGCAUCGUUAAUUUAAGCCUGGCAAUCACCUGAAAUGGGUUAAGUUUGGUAAGUAGUGUGAAUUUUGAUGGGUUCAGUGCCUCUGAUCAGAGGACGCUUGUGACUUACACCGCUGUAUACCACUUUUACUGUUAGGUAAUGCAAAUAAACGCAUACCACUACGGGUCUUGCAUGGCCUCCGUGCAUUAUCAGACUACCAGAGUAGACAUGCAUAAUAAAUAAGUAAUUGUCAAUGUGUGUGUGUGUGUGAGCAUUUGCGUGAAUGAGAAAUAUAGCAACUGUCUAUCCACCUGUUCUGAAAAUGAUAUCAAAUUUACAUCUGCAUAAAAGUCUCGGGACGCAAACUACAAAUGUCAGGAUCAAAUAGCUGAUGUCUCUGAUAGUUAUCCAGUAAGUUAUCCAGUGAGCUGCAUGUAUCCUUGUCUGCUGUAAUGGUAAUUGGUAAAUACAUCCAUCCAUCUUCUUAUCUCGUUCCAGGUCACAAUAGCAACAGGCUAUGCAAAGUUGCCUAUACUUCCAGCUCCCAAGCCACAUCCUCCAGCUCCUCCUGGGGGAUUUAGAGGCGUCUCCACACUUGCCGGGAUAUGCAAUCCAUCCAGAAUGUUUUGGGCCCCCUUCCAGUCGGACACGCCCGUUGUCUGAAAUACUUCCACAGUGUGUAUCCUAAUUAGAUGCACCUCAUGUGGCUCCUUCCCAGGCAGGAGGGGCAGCUGUUCCUGUUGGGGUGAGCCAAAGCACCCGAAAAAGGCAACUGGUUUCCGGUCGGGCCACUACUGGUAUCCGCUACCUCAUUCUGGUCUUGGUGACCACUCAGAGCCCACGACCACAGCUCAUCACUCAGCACAGCUUCACCCAUGAACUUUCUUGGCAUCCACCUUUACUUGGCAUAGGGGGACUGUGGAGACAAAUGGCACUGUGAUCCUGAGCACAGCCUUUAAAGCAGGUAUUUCUGCCUCCAGAGCUGCAGAGUCUGGAUCUGUGAUUGUGGACCGCCUGCUGCCCC